GCUUGCUUCUCUGAUGUUAGCGGCGGACGGGUGAGUAACACGUGGAUAACCUACCUAUAAGACUGGGAUAACUUCGGGAAACCGGAGCUAAUACCGGAUAAUAUUUUGAACCGCAUGGUUCAAAAGUGAAAGACGGUCUUGCUGUCACUUAUAGAUGGAUCCGCGCUGCAUUAGCUAGUUGGUAAGGUAACGGCUUACCAAGGCAACGAUGCAUAGCCGACCUGAGAGGGUGAUCGGCCACACUGGAACUGAGACACGGUCCAGACUCCUACGGGAGGCAGCAGUAGGGAAUCUUCCGCAAUGGGCGAAAGCCUGACGGAGCAACGCCGCGUGAGUGAUGAAGGUCUUCGGAUCGUAAAACUCUGUUAUUAGGGAAGAACAUAUGUGUAAGUAACUGUGCACAUCUUGACGGUACCUAAUCAGAAAGCCACGGCUAACUACGUGCCAGCAGCCGCGGUAAUACGUAGGUGGCAAGCGUUAUCCGGAAUUAUUGGGCGUAAAGCGCGCGUAGGCGGUUUUUUAAGUCUGAUGUGAAAGCCCACGGCUCAACCGUGGAGGGUCAUUGGAAACUGGAAAACUUGAGUGCAGAAGAGGAAAGUGGAAUUCCAUGUGUAGCGGUGAAAUGCGCAGAGAUAUGGAGGAACACCAGUGGCGAAGGCGACUUUCUGGUCUGUAACUGACGCUGAUGUGCGAAAGCGUGGGGAUCAAACAGGAUUAGAUACCCUGGUAGUCCACGCCGUAAACGAUGAGUGCUAAGUGUUAGGGGGUUUCCGCCCCUUAGUGCUGCAGCUAACGCAUUAAGCACUCCGCCUGGGGAGUACGACCGCAAGGUUGAAACUCAAAGGAAUUGACGGGGACCCGCACAAGCGGUGGAGCAUGUGGUUUAAUUCGAAGCAACGCGAAGAACCUUACCAAAUCUUGACAUCCUUUGACAACUCUAGAGAUAGAGCCUUCCCCUUCGGGGGACAAAGUGACAGGUGGUGCAUGGUUGUCGUCAGCUCGUGUCGUGAGAUGUUGGGUUAAGUCCCGCAACGAGCGCAACCCUUAAGCUUAGUUGCCAUCAUUAAGUUGGGCACUCUAAGUUGACUGCCGGUGACAAACCGGAGGAAGGUGGGGAUGACGUCAAAUCAUCAUGCCCCUUAUGAUUUGGGCUACACACGUGCUACAAUGGACAAUACAAAGGGCAGCGAAACCGCGAGGUCAAGCAAAUCCCAUAAAGUUGUUCUCAGUUCGGAUUGUAGUCUGCAACUCGACUACAUGAAGCUGGAAUCGCUAGUAAUCGUAGAUCAGCAUGCUACGGUGAAUACGUUCCCGGGUCUUGUACACACCGCCCGUCACACCACGAGAGUUUGUAACACCCGAAGCCGGUGGAGUAA
rnacentral:rRNA from 1 species